rnacentral:rRNA from 1 species
AUUGAACGCUGGCGGCAUGCCUUACACAUGCAAGUCGAACGGUAACGGGCCUUCGGGUGCCGACGAGUGGCGCACGGGUGAGUAAUACAUCGGAACGUGCCCGAUCGUGGGGGAUAACGAGGCGAAAGCUUUGCUAAUACCGCAUACGAUCUACGGAUGAAAGCAGGGGACCGCAAGGCCUUGCGCGGACGGAGCGGCCGGUGGCAGAUUAGGUAGUUGGUGGGAUAAAAGCUUACCAAGCCGACGAUCUGUAGCUGGUCUGAGAGGAUGAUCAGCCACACUGGGACUGAGACACGGCCCAGACUCCUACGGGAGGCAGCAGUGGGGAAUUUUGGACAAUGGGCGCAAGCCUGAUCCAGCCAUGCCGCGUGCAGGAUGAAGGCCUUCGGGUUGUAAACUGCUUUUGUACGGAACGAAAAGCCUUCUUUUAAUACAGGAGGGUCAUGACGGUACCGUAAGAAUAAGCACCGGCUAACUACGUG